UACGUAGGGGGCAAGCGUUGUCCGGAUUUAUUGGGCGUAAAGAGCUCGUAGGUGGUUUGGUAAGUCGGAUGUGAAAUCUCCAGGCUCAACCUGGAGGGGUCAUUCGAUACUGCCAUACUAGAGGUCGGUAGGGGAGUGUGGAAUUCCUGGUGGAGCGGUGAAAUGCGCAGAUAUCAGGAGGAACACCCGUAGCGAAGGCGGCACCUCUGG
rnacentral:rRNA from 1 species